UAGAAACAAUAAUGCGUACACAAGAACAACACGUACAACUUUAACAGCGAAGACCGACACCGACCGUACAGCUCCGAUCCGACCCCUAUACAACCCUCAACUCAAUUUUUCUUACACUUUCCACCUAAAAUUCUCUUCCCCUUUUGAUUUGUGCACUUCAUGAACCCUCACGAGGAUUCGUAUUAAGGAAGGGUCUCGAACCUUCUGGAAAAGCACUGAAACGUUCAAAAAUUCAUUUUUCUUGGGUGGAUCCGUACGAAUUCAUACAUAUUUCUGUGAAUUUCAUUGGUUCUUGGGGAUUAUUCUUUUUCCCCAAUAUCUAUUGGUUAAACCCAUUCAAUUUUCUUCAAGAAAUCAAAAAAGUCAGUACAAGAAUGAGGUUAUAAUCCCGUCCUCAUCUCAAUUUUAAAAAUAUCUCAGUUAAAAUAUUUCUAAACUACCUCCAAUUUUUCCCAUUCCGCAUUGAUUGAAACUCAAAUUGAACCCCUAAUUUCUUCUAUAUAAAACUCUCUUUGGAGCAAAAUUGCCCAAGUCUCAAAAGGGUUGGAAAGGCUUUUUGAGCAAAGAAUUAAUUUUUUUAGUAAAACUUUUUAGAAAGGCAGUCGAUUAAUCAAAGUUUUUCAAAAGAUUUCUUUCAGUGGUGGUAGAUUUUGAUGAAGCUCGAGUCCCAUUUUGCUGCUCCAGAAAAGGUAAACACACCCUUUCCCUUUUAGUUUAUUGCUUUUCUUCUUCAUCUCUUUCUUCGUAUCAAUCUUUAUGUAGUCGUAAUUGUAGUUGGUGGGAUUGUUGUUGUAGACAACUUUGAAAGCCAUAGGUUGUUGUGAAGAAAUGGUGAAUGACGUCUUUGAGAUGAUAUUUUGUUGUUCUUGACCUCAUGAUUUUCAUUCGAGUUCUUGAGAUUACUAUUUCAGCUUUCUUGAUGAUUUUCUUUUUCUUAGCUUUGGCUUGUGGCCUUAUCAUUUAGUUUGUUCAUGGAUCGAUUCAUUUUUUUUUCUAGCCAUAUACUUGCCUAUUGAUUAAACACAUACUGAUUUUAGCAUAUUUGUAGCUGUGAAGUGUUGAAGUUUCUGUUUUGUUUAAAUGUUUGGGAUGCUACAACUUCCUCCCUAUUUCAACCAGUCCCUCAAUUGGGGUGUAUGUUCAUUGAUUUUCUAUGAUUCAUAAUACUGGUAGAGUGUCAAUGGCUCGAAAAGGGAAAUAGUUUUUUCUCGAAAAUCAAAGCUAGAGAAACGAGACGCAUCCUUGCUAUGAUAAGUUUCCACCCGUGAAAGUUUUUUUUUUUUAAUCAUUUGAUACUUAUGAAUGAGUAUUGAUUCUUUUCCAUUUCUGUGUUUUGUUUGAAGAAUCAAGUAUAGAAGAGAUUUGUUUAUCUUAUCCUGAGGUGAUAAACCGUUGUGUUCAAGGGUCUUUGCUACUCUAUUAGUUUAGGCUCUAAUUUGGUCGUAAGUUUCCUUUGUUUUCUGUACGAAAUUCCCCGAUUACAUGAGAAAUAUGGAAGUUAUUUGAGUCAUUUAAAUCGACUAUUCUUUGGCCUAUACAACCGAAUAAAGUUUUCUUUGAUGAAUUCUAUUUAAUGUUCAAUUCAUUAUCUUCUAGUGGUUGUCAGUGGAUAUAUGAAGGCCAAGGACCGAGCUUUAUCUUAAAGAUUGUUAUUUUGUCAUUAGAAUCGAUCCAUGUGUGGUUGACUUAGAUUCGACAUCAUCCCCUCUCUUGUUAAGAUUUAAAGCAUAUUUGCACUUAGGCAUGAAGCUUUUCUUUUUUGAAAUGAUUGGAAACCUGUCUUCCUUUGGUCUGUGGUCUGUGAUAACAUAAGGAUAUUAUAUAGUCUUGGUAUUACCAUAUUUUCUAGCAAAAUGUCAACUUGCAGUUUCCCAUUUUUGCCUAUAUUGUUGAAGUCACUGUUAUGUCCUUGAAUAUGCUUAAAAGACUCAAUUUGUUGUUCUCUUUGAGAUGAACAUCUUGUUUGCAAUCUUUCCCUUUUUCUUUUCCAAAAGACACCCUGGUUAGUGAGAAGUAAUUUCUUUAGAUGCAACUUUUUGAUUAUCAAGUUAUUUAAUUCUUCUGUUACGUUUAUGCCUGAGUUGUCACUGUCUCCCUUUCUUAGUCUAUUUUUAAAUAUUAUUUUAAGAUGGACUGGAUCACUACCUACUUGCUUUGAUAGAUCUGCUUGUAGCACCUCAACAUAAAAUUGUUUGUUUUAAACUAUGAAGAUUUUUUCUUUGUUUUGUCAUUUCUAUCAUUUUAAAUUUCCUUAAUCGUUAUGUGUGUUAGUUCCUUAUUCGCAACAUUCUAAAUUUCCUUUUUAUAAUUAUUAUCAUUAUUAUUAUUAUUAUUAUUAUUAUUAUUAUUAUUAUUAUUAUUAUUAUUUAGAGGAACUGCUUUUAUAAAAGUGAUUAAGAACUUUUCAGAGAAGAAGUGUAGAAAGAACCUCAUUGUAUCUGUAAACAUUAAUCACUUAAGUCAAUAUCAAGCCAAUAAAUUUCAUUUUCAAGGAAUUCGUUGUGGUUAAGGAAUAAAUCUUCUUCUAUUAGGCUACGAAUUAGAUUUUCUAACAUAAAAAAAUGAAUAUCUUCGUUUAAAAGAAUGCAUUUGAUAAUCGUAAUUAUAAUUUUCUCAGGGAGGAAGUAUGUGUAAAAGUUCGUGUUAGAUUUUCGCGAGAUAGAAAAUCAGGCAAAGAAUUUUCACUACCCUUCUUAUAUUGUAUUUCAUAAUCAAAAGGGGCUAAUUGAGCUUGCCAUCUUGCAAAUAUCAAUUUAAAGGCAUCAUGUUUAAAGUCUUUGUUAAACAUAAAUUUAACGGAUUGAGCAUCAGUUCUAAUUAUAAAUCUUUGAUUAUACAAAUCAUCUUGAAAUUUUAAAAUACAUUUUACAAUAGUUAACAUUUCAUGGGUUACUGUGACGUAUUUUUUCUGACUUUCAGUCCAUUUACCAAAAUAAAAUCGAAUCAAAAAUUCUAUUUUUGUAUGGGGAUUAACUUGUUUAAGUAUUCCGUCAUACCCAAUAUUAGAAGCAUCAGUUUCAAUGAUUUUUAACCAGUUAGGAUUUGCAAGGGGUACAAGGAAGAGUUUGAACUCGGUUUUUAAUUAAUUUUACUAAAUUAAUGUGGACUUGAGUUCAAGGAGUUUUGUGAUCCUUUUUUAGUCUAUCAUAUAAAGGAGCUAAAUUUCUAGACAGAUUUCAUAAAAAGGGGAAAUAUAGUUAAGACUAUCGAGGAAUCUUUGAAGUUGUUUUUUAUCAGUAAUAAUAUCAGGGAAUUUUUUAGCAAAUUCUAGAACUCGUUGUAUAGGCUCAAUAGAACCUUGAGAAAUAUUAUGUCUUAAAAAUCUAAUACUUGUCUGGAAUAAACUUAUCUUUGGUUUGGAGAUGACUAAGCCAUUUUGAAUAAUUAUUUGUUUAAACGUAUGCAAAUGUUUAAAAUGAGAUUCAAGGGUUUUUGAGAAUACUAAAAUAUCAUCAAUAUAAACAAUGAUAAAGUCCAUAUAGGGAUUAAAAAUGUCAUUCAUAAUUUUUUGAAAUUCAGAAGGAGCAUUCUUUAAACCGAAUGACAUAAUAUUCCAUUCAUACUGUCCAAAAGGGACAUUAAAAGCAGUUCUAUAAGUAUUUUCUUUAUCAAUUUGAAUUUGCCAAUACCCAGAUUUCAAAUCAAAUUUAGAGAAUAUAUUAGUAUCAUAUAAUCUGGAAAGAAAGUCUUUUUUAUUCGGUAUAGGAUAUCGAAUUCAUUUUAAAACUUUAUUCAGAGGUUUAUAGUUUAUAACUAAUCGAGGUAUUCCUCGUUCUUUUUCAGCAGCAUUAUUGACAUAAAAAGCAGUACAAGAUCAAGGGGAUUUUGAGGGUUUUAUAAGAUUUUUUUGCAGAAGACUGUCAAUUUCUGUCUUACAGAAUUCUACUAACUCUGUAUUCAUUUGACAGGGUCGAGAUUUUGUUGGAAUUUGUUCUUCACUGAAGUCAUUUUCAUAAGGAAGAGAAACAAUAUGUUUCUUUCGGUUUCAGAAAGCAUUUGGAUGAUCCGCACAAAUAUCAAGAAUCAAUUGAUUAGAAAUAUUUUUAUUUUUUCUUGGACUUUCACUGAUUUUAAAGUAUAAAAAAUAGAAAUACUCAUUAGUUCUAAUUGUAAGAAAUUAAUUUUCUUUUGUUUCAUACUGAUAAGGGCAUUUAUAUCCCUUGUUACAGGAUUAGUAACAAAAGGAUAAGAGAUUUAUUUAUUCUUAUAAGUAGUCUUAAAAUCAUUUACAUUAAUAUGUGUAUAAGGAUAAAUAGCAUUUAUAAAAGGUGUUCCUAGGAUAAUAGGAGGAUAUAACUGAUUUUUUACUAAAAAAAAGAAAUGUGGAUUGCAGACUUUAUCUCGACAUAUAUGAGUAUUUGGUAACUUAUAGUUGAUAUCAAGAGUAUGACCAGAUGCAGACUUGACUAUGUGAGUAGUUUCUUCAAAAUAUCUGGUUGGAAUUAGUCCUUCUUGAAUACAACUAACAUCAGCAUCACUAUUAAUCAUAGCAUGAAGAUAGAAAAUUUCUUAUUUAUCAAAAUAGUGCAAUUUAUAUACAUGAGCAGUAACUAUUUGCAUUAUCCCCAAGAAAUAAUCCCUUUUUAAAUCUUCUGUUGGACUAAGUUUAUCAAUUUCAGAAUUUUCAGAGUAUUUCAAAUCCUUUUCUUUUCCUUUUUGAAGUAAUAGAAGUUUCAGGGAUGUCAAUAAUCUUUUCUUCAAUUUUUAAAAUUCUAUGAUCGGAGAUUAUCUGAUUUUGUUUUAAGGAGACAAUUUUUUUUUUUAAUUGUUCAACUUCGAUUUUUGAAUCAUUAAAGGUAGUAUUUCUACCUGGAGUUUGAAUCAACGCAAAAUGUCGAUUAACUUCGGCUAAGGAAUAUGACAUGUGAUAAUUAUCAUAAUAGUUAUCUUUAGAAAUACUAGUAUUAGCAGAAGUUUUUUGAGUAGCAAAAUUAAUGAUUUUUUUACAAAGUUUUUUAUCAGUAACUUCUUUCAGUAAUUCAAGGACAUUAUUAGCAGUAAGAGUUUGAACAUUUAAAUCAAGAUCUUCGAAUUGCGCUUGAAGUUUAUACAUCAUUUCAUCACAAUUACAAAUAUCAUUAUCACAAUCAUUACAUUUAUCAACCUGAUUGAGUUCACUAUCAGAAUUUGGUAAUUCAAAAUCAUUUUCAGAUGUAGAAUCAGAUUCGGAAUCAN
rnacentral:lncRNA from 1 species